rnacentral:lncRNA from 1 species
UCAUCUCCCUUCCUGUUUAUUAUUUUAUUGAUCACGCCUCUCUUUUCACUUGUGUUGCUCUCCAUCUUCCUCUCCUCUUUCUUCUCCCUAGGUAUCUAGUCUGCUCGGGGACCCAUCCAGGCUGCUGAUGCAGAAGGCGUUGUCUUUGCGACCUCCAGGUCUUGUGCCGCUGGGCAAAGGCCUCCUGGGAGACUCCCCUACUGAGUUGGGCCAGGAACCGGUGCCAGCGUCUACCCAUAAUGCCUCAGUGAUGUUAUCAGCGGCAGGUGUGAUGCCAUACCUUCAGGGUCGAGCAGCAGCAGGAGAACAAAACAGCACCCAUUCCAUCUCCACAACCCCUUCUGCUUCCUCCUCUUCUUCCUCCACCACCUCCUGCUCACAGCCUGCUCCGCCUGGGACGAUGGUGAGCUCCCAGCUGCAGGGACAGAGCUACUCCUUGGGUCUAAGUAACUCAGGCCUUGGCCCACCUCCACCUAAACCCCCUGGAGGGGUUUAUACAUCAGCAGGCCAGCACAACAGUGCAGAUGGAUGCCCCCUGGCUGGCAUGGUAAGCAGUGGUCAGAGUUCUCUGUUGGGAGAUCCUCCUAAAGAAGUCAGGCUGCCCUCUAAUCCUUACCUGAACCUGGCCAG